rnacentral:rRNA from 1 species
UACGUAGGGGGCUAGCGUUAUCCGGAAUUACUGGGCGUAAAGGGUGCGUAGGUGGUUUCUUAAGUCAGAGGUGAAAGGCUACGGCUCAACCGUAGUAAGCCUUUGAAACUGGGAAACUUGAGUGCAGGAGAGGAGAAUGGAAUUCCUAGUGUAGCGGUGAAAUGCGUAGAGAUUAGGAAGAACACCAGUGGCGAAGGCGAUUCUCUGGACUGUAACUGACGCUGAGGCUCGAAAGCGUGGGGAGCAAACAGG